UACGUAGGGCGCGAGCGUUGUCCGGAAUUAUUGGGCGUAAAGAGCUCGUAGGCGGCUUGUCACGUCGGGUGUGAAAGCCCGGGGCUUAACCCCGGGUCUGCAUUCGAUACGGGCUAGCUAGAGUGUGGUAGGGGUGAUCGGAAUUCCUGGUGUAGCGGUGAAAUGCGCAGAUAUCAGGAGGAACACCGGUGGCGAAGGCGGAUCUCUGGGCCAUUACUGACGCUGAGGAGCGAAAGCGUGGGGAGCGAACAGG
rnacentral:rRNA from 1 species